AGAGAGAUGGCUGAGUGGACUAAAGCGCCGAAUUGCUAAUCCGUUGUACAAAUUUUUGUAUUGAGAGUUCGAAUCCCUCUCUUUCUG
rfam:Glycine soja cultivar W05 scaffold1106_20, whole genome shotgun sequence.